AUAUGUCUCUAUCUCUAUACGUCUGUCUGGUAUUUGUCUAUAUAUGUAUAUCAAGCUAUGCUGUAUUUUAACAGGAAGGCACUUAGUCUUCUAAAUGUAGUAAAUACAAAAAGUGAAGAACAAUGUAAAACAUGAACAAGCAUGAUUAUAAUCUUCCCAGGGAGGCCAGUAUAACCUAUAAAAGGAUACAUUAGUUUUAAGGAAGAAUGUAGCUAACCAUGCAAAUUAUGUAACACUUAUGUAACAUAAAUGUGAUCUUGUAAGCUCUGUUAUGAAAACUGUUACGAAACUGUUAGAUGAGGAAAGUUGUAAAUAGUUUUUGAAAACUGCCUAUAUAUAACUUGGCUUACACUACUGAGACAAAGAUACAGCUUUGUUUUCAAGACCAGAACUCAUUUCAUAGUGAGAACAUACAAGAAUAAAAUGCUGAAGGCUGUGAUUUUACUUCUUGCAAUUGUGCUCAUUCUGGAUCCUGCACCAGGUGCAUUUCAACCUUUUUCAGACUCAUUCAUUUGUGUAAAAAGUGGAGGACGUUGUGAAAAAUACAACUGCAGAGCAAGAGAAUUUUAUAAAGGCACUUGCAAUAAUGGUCGUUGGAUGUGCUGUAUAUCACGUUCAGUAGAGGAGCAUGAUCCUGAAGUCUAAGACUUCUUUGUUUUGGUGUAACUCAGAAUGUCAACAUACUAGCCACAAUACCUUCUUUGUUAAUGACCAAAUCAUAUUUGUAAUACCAGAAAUAUCUAACUUACAAGUAGUGGAAUAAAUCCAAAAACAAAUUG